UACAGAGGUCCCGAGCGUUGUUCGGAUUCACUGGGCGUAAAGGGUGCGUAGGUGGUUGGGUAAGUUUGAUGUGAAAGCUCAGGGCUUAACCCUGAAAUGGCAUUGAAUACUACUUAACCGGAGGUUUGGAGGGGGGACUGGAAUUCUUGGUGUAGCAGUGAAAUGCGUAGAUAUCAAGAGGAACACCAGUGGCGAAGGCGAGUCCCUGGACAACACCUGACACUGAGGCACGAAAGCUAGGGGAGCAAACAGG
rnacentral:rRNA from 1 species